rnacentral:rRNA from 1 species
UACGUAGGGGGCUAGCGUUGUCCGGAAUCAUUGGGCGUAAAGCGCGUGUAGGCGGCCCGAUAAGUCCGCUGUGAAAGUCGGGGGCUCAACCCUCGAAUGCCGGUGGAUACUGUCGGGCUAGAGUGCGGAAGAGGCGAGUGGAAUUCCUGGUGUAGCGGUGAAAUGCGCAGAUAUCAGGAGGAACACCUAUUGCGAAGGCAGCUCGCUGGGACGUAACUGACGCUGAGACGCGAAAGCGUGGGGAGCAAACAGG